rnacentral:rRNA from 1 species
UGAGGAAUAUUGGGCAAUGAGGGAAACCUUGACCCAGUGAUACCACGUGAGUGAUGAAGGCAUUAACUUGUUGUAAAACUCUUUUAUAGUUUGAGAAGUUGACUAAACUAUGAAUAAGUGCCGGCAAAUUUUGUGCCAGCAACCGCGGUGAGACAAAAGGCACGAACGUUACUCGGUUUUAAUGGGUUUAAAGGGUGUGUAGGUUUUUUUAUAAGUCAAAUUUAUGGAUACGGCAUAACUGUGGAUAUGGGUUUGAUACUGUAUUAAUUGAGAUUGAUGGAAGUUAAUGGAAUUUCUAGUGUAAAGGUGAAAUUUGUAGAUACUAGAAGGAACACCAGGGGCGAAGGCGAUUAACUAUUUUAAUCUGACACUGAGACACGAAAGCGUGGGGAGUAAAAAGGAUUAGAGACCCUUGUAAUCCACGCUGUAAAAGAUGAGUAUUUGAUAUUGUUAAACUUAGUGUUUAGCUAAUGUCCAAGCAAAAGCAAUAAAUACUCCACCUGAGUAGUACGAUCGCAAGAUUG